rnacentral:tRNA from 1 species
UUUUAUGUAGUUUAUUUAAAACAAAUUAUUUUCAAUGAUUAAAAAAAUUCAAUUUCAUAAAAU